rnacentral:rRNA from 1 species
CUUGGUCAUUUAGAGGAAGUAAAAAUCGUAACAAGGUUUCCGUUGGUGAACCAGCGGAAGGAUCAUUACAGAGAUCGUGCCCUCACGGGUAGACCUCCCACCCUGUGUUAUUUACCUUUGUUGCUUUGGCAGGCCGCCUUCGGGCCCGCGGCUUCGGCUGGGGAGCGCCUGCCAGAGGACCAACCAACCCUAUUGUAUACCUGUCGUCUGAGUACUAUAUAAUAAGUUAAAACUUUCAACAACGGAUCUCUUGGUUCUGGCAUCGAUGAAGAACGCAGCGAAAUGCGAUAAGUAAUGUGAAUUGCAGAAUUCAGUGAAUCAUCGAAUCUUUGAACGCACAUUGCGCCCCUUGGUAUUCCGGGGGGCAUGCCUGUUCGAGCGUCAUUUCAACCCUCAAGCUCAGCUUGGUCUUAGGCUCUGCCCGUUCAACGGCUUGCCUUAAAAGCAGUGGCGGUGCCGUCGAGCUCUACGCGUAGUAAUUCUACCCUCGCGUGUGAGCCCUCGACGUGCGCUGGCCAACAACCCCUCACUUCUUAUAGUUGACCUCGAAUCAGGUAGGGAUACCCGCUGAACUUAAGCAUAUCAAUAAGCGGAGGAAAAGAAACCAACAGGGAUUACCUCAGUAACGGCGAGUGAAGCGGUAACAGCUCAAAUUUGAAAUCUGGCUCUUUCAGGGUCCGAGUUGUAAUUUGUAGAAGAUGCUUCGGGUGUGGCUCCGGUCUAAGUUCCUUGGAACAGGACGUCAUAGAGGGUGAGAAUCCCGUAUGUGACUGGCUGCCUUCGCCUAUGUGAAGCUCUUUCGACGAGUCGAGUUGUUUGGGAAUGCAGCUCAAAAUGGGUGGUAAAUUUCAUCUAAAGCUAAAUAUUGGCCAGAGACCGAUAGCGCACAAGUAGAGUGAUCGAAAGAUGAAAAGCACUUUGGAAAGAGAGUUAAACAGUACGUGAAAUUGUUGAAAGGGAAGCGCUUGCAAUCAGACUUGCACGCUAUCGAUCAUCCGUAGUUCUCUGCGGUGCACUCGGUAGCGUUCAGGCCAGCAUCGGUUUAGGUGGUUGGAUAAAGGCCUUGGGAAUGUAGCUUCUUUCGGGGAGUGUUAUAGCCCUCGGUGCAAUGCAGCCUACCUGGACCGAGGACCGCGCUUCGGCUAGGAUGCUGGCGUAAUGGUUGUAAGCGACCCGUCUUGAAACACGGACC